rfam:Rattus norvegicus chromosome 12, whole genome shotgun sequence.
GGGGAUUUAGCUCAGUGGUAGAGCGCUUGCCUAACAAACGCAAGGCCCUGGGUUCGGUCCCCAGCUCCG